AUUGUCUGAAGCGGCAGUGGAGACCCAGGAAAAAUCUCGCUGAAUCCGCCUGCCCCAGCAGUGGCCUGAUCUGGGUUCCGCUGAUUCCUUUCGUAACCGCACCACACCCGAGGAGCUCUGAUUUGGGGUGCCAAUGAUUUUGAACCUUAAAUUCUUUGGAAAGGUUCAGAAUGAAGUCCAUUGUGGAGGCUCAGAAAAACAAUUUCCUGGGAAAUGAAGCAGUAUUUUUAUAGAGAGAACUGUAUACAUGUGAAAGCUUAUUCAUCACUGGUCAGGCAAGAGACCCUCCAAUGACUAAAUAAACCUGAAUUUAAGUCAGAGGAAAGGAAUUACAGAGAUCUCUAUUUACUGGGUGGCCUUCAAAUAUGUCAUGUCCUCUUAAACAAGAUCAAGGGAGGGAACACUAUCCCAGAAGAGGUUCUGUCUGUAAUUUUCUCAGUUUGAAAAAUACCAAAGAGGUAUUCCAUUGUU
rnacentral:sRNA from 1 species